GAUGAACGCUGGCGGCGUGCUUAACACAUGCAAGUCGAGCGAGUGAGUUCUUCGGAACGAUCUAGCGUCGGACGGGUGAGUAACACGUGGGCAACCUGCCUCAUAGAGGGGAAUAGCCUCCCGAAAGGGAGAUUAAUACCGCAUAAAAUUAUCGAGUGGCAUCACAUGAUAAUCAAAGGAGUAAUCCGCUAGGAGAUGGGCCCGCGGCGCAUUAGCUAGUUGGUGAGGUAACGGCUCACCAAGGCGACGAUGCGUAGCCGACCUGAGAGGGUGAUCGGCCACAUUGGGACUGAGACACGGCCCAGACUCCUACGGGAUGCAGCAGUGGGGAAUAUUGCACAAUGGGGAAACCCUGAUGCAGCAACGCCGCGUGAGUGAUGAAGGUCUUCGGAUUGUAAAGCUCUGUCUUUGGGGACGAUAAUGACGGUACCCAAGGAGGAAGCCACGGCUAACUACGUGCCAGCAGCCGCCGUAA
rnacentral:rRNA from 1 species